GACGAACGCUGGCGGCGUGCCUAAUACAUGCCAGUAGAACGCACAGUUUAUACCGUAGCUUGCUACACCAUAAACUGUGAGUUGCGAACGGGUGAGUAACGCGUAGGUAACCUGCCUGGUAGCGGGGGAUAACUAUUGGAAACGAUAGCUAAUACCGCAUAAUAUUGAUUAUUGCAUGAUAAUUGAUUGAAAGAUGCUAUUGCAUCACUACCAGAUGGACCUGCGUUGUAUUAGCUAGUAGGUGAGGUAACGGCUCACCUAGGCGACGAUACAUAGCCGACCUGAGAGGGUGAUCGGCCACACUGGGACUGAGACACGGCCCAGACUCCUACGGGAGGCAGCAGUAGGGAAUCUUCGGCAAUGGACGAAAGUCUGACCGAGCAACGCCGCGGGAGUGAAGAAGGUUUUCGGAUCGUAAAGCUCUGUUGUAAGAGAAGAACGGGUGUGAGAGUGGAAAGUUCACACUGUGACGGUAUCUUACCAGAAAGGGACGGCUAACUACGUG
rnacentral:rRNA from 1 species